rnacentral:tRNA from 1 species
UCCUUGGUGGUUCAGUGGUUAGGACUUCGUGUUCUCACUGCCAAGGGCCCAGGUUUAAUCCUUGGUCGGGGAA